GGCUUCGGCCCAGCCGGUUGGCUUGUAUCUCUCCUUUCUCUCUGUUCCUCUCUGGAAUUCGAACCUAGACUCCGAAUUGCUGUAAUCUGGCCACAAUCACUGUGAAAUCGAGAGUAGAACUCGAGCGUGAUGUUAACACCGCCCUCUCGUUCCUGCAGCAGGUAACCUCUCUGCCCCCCACGCCUGCCCACCGCUGAGGCCGCCCUAACGGGCUCCGACGGCGGCGCUCGCUCCAAGGAGAGCCAGCGAACCCGACCGCAGCUCCUCUCCAAUAAUCUGGGGCGCUACUCUGCCUCGCCGGGUCCCCACCCAAGCGCGUCCAUCCGUGCUGCAUCCCCGCGAAGCUCCAACUUCUGGGCGAAAGGAAGCACUCCGGGAGCUCAACAACGGCAAGAGGAGAGCCGGACUUGUUGCCAGAGAGGGAGAACGACGCCGUCUUGCCGUUGUGUAGAAGUUGAAGAAGGAAUAUAACGAGAUCGGCAGUGCCACAAUGAAGCUGGUACUGCAGUGCCAGCGUCCAACCGGAGUAAAAGCCGGCGUCUUCCCCGAGCUGCAGCUGCCAGACACCACAUCGGCAAGGUCCGCCUUGACCAAGACCAGGACGCGCAGGUAGCGUUGGGGAAGGGAGUAGCACUGCUGGUUCAAGGCUGGAGGUUCUUCAGUGCGACCUGGAGGCUGGAUUAUGGCAGCAGUGGCGACUUGAUAGGUCAAGGUGGUGAGUUUCCGCUUAUUCCCUAGUCUCUGUGUGUGAUGCGAUGGCCAUGGGACUGGUGAUGUACGGGCAAGUGGCUUCAUGGAUGAAUUAGUUGUUGGCUAUGCUCUUUGUAGUUGUAACUUUUGACAUGUCAUAUAGUUAUCUCAGUAAGUAGGUAAUGGAUGUCCAGGGAUGGCUGAUUUGGCUUUAUUAUUGUGGACAUGAUUUAGCUCAUACUGUAUAGAGUGUCAGCAGAUGAUUAUCUAGUUAAUGUUCCUUUUUGAAGCACAUUUGAAUCCUGGGGGUUGGCUCGAUU